AGUGAACGCUGGCGGCGUGCUUAACACAUGCAAGUCGAACGAGAACGGAUUAUAGCUUGCUAUAAUUGUCAGCUAAGUGGCGCACGGGUGAGUAAUAUAUAGGUAACGUGCCCCAAAGAAGAGGAUAACAGAUGGAAACGUCUGCUAAGACUCUAUAUGCCUUUAUGACAAAAGUCAGCAAGGGAAAUAUUUAUAGCUUUGGGACCGGCCUGUACAGUAUCAGUUAGUUGGUGAGGUAAUGGCUCACCAAGACAAUGACGCUUAACUGGUUUGAGAGGAUGAUCAGUCACACUGGAACUGAGACACGGUCCAGACUCCUACGGGAGGCAGCAGUGGGGAAUAUUGCACAAUGGACGAAAGUCUGAUGCAGCAACGCCGCGUGGAGGAUGACACAUUUCGGUGCGUAAACNCCUUUUAUAUAGGAAGAUAAUGACGGUACUAUAUGAAUAAGCACCGGCUAACUCCGUGCCAG
rnacentral:rRNA from 1 species